GUAGGACUACCCGCUGAACUUAAGCAUAUCAAUAAGCGGAGGA
rnacentral:rRNA from 1 species